UCUUACAGAUAAGGAAAGAAAGUGGUUUCUUGAAAUAGAAUCUACUCCUGGUGAAGAUUCUGUGAA
rnacentral:pre_miRNA from 1 species